rnacentral:misc_RNA from 1 species
GAAUUGCGAAAAGUAAUGUUGUUUGCUGAACGUCCAACAUUGAGUUUUUGAACGCACCUGGCACGUUUACUUUGUAAACGUAUGCCUGUUUGAGAGGAUAAACACCCCCUCUACAUUUGGGUACUUUUGUAACCAAUUUGUGGGAUGUUGAGGGACCUGUUGCUAUGCGGCAGCCCCUUUAAAUCCAUGACUGUGCUGGUUUACCUUUGGGUUAAUUUGCUUUACUUUAUAGUCCUUUUUGGAUUCUAGUAGCAGCAGUUGACUAUUCAACAAAGCGACCUUUACUUUCAGCAAGGAAUAACCAUCUUGUAUUCCUCAAAUCAGGUAGGACUACCCGCUGAAUUUAA